UGAUACUCCCCCUCGAAAUGUGACGACUUCCAUCCUAUAGACAGAAGUGUCGGGAGAGCUUGUGAUACUCCCCCUCGAAAUGUGACGACUUCCAUCCUAUGGACAGAAGUGUCGGGAGAGCUUCUGAUAAUCUCCCUCGAAAUGUGACGACUUCCAUCCUAUGGACAGAAGUGUCGGGGGAGCUUCUGAUACUCUCCCUCGAAAUGUGACGACUUCCAUCCUAUGGACAGAAGUGUCGGGAGAGCUUCUGAUACUCCCCCUCGAAAUGUGACGACUUCCAUCCUAUAGACAGAAGUGUCGGGAGAGCUUGUGAUACUCCCCCCUGAAA
rnacentral:lncRNA from 1 species